CCCGCUGAAUUUAAGCAUAUCAUUAAGCGGAGGAAAAGAAACUAACAAGGAUUCCCCUAGUAACGGCGAGUGAAGCGGAAGAGCUCAAGCUUAAAAUCUCCAUGUUUUACAUGGCGAAUUGUAGUCUAUUGAGGCUGUUGUCAGCAUAGCGAUUUGGGACAAGUCCCUUGGAAAAGGGCAGCAUAGAGGGUGAUACUCCCGUCUUUGCUCAGAUUGUCUAUGUGUACGAUACGCUUUCUUUGAGUCGAGUUGUUUGGGAAUACAGCUCAAAGUAGGUGGUAAAUUCCAUCUAAAGCUAAAUAUUGGUGCGAGACCGAUAGCGAACAAGUACCGUGAGGGAAAGAUGAAAAGAACUUUGAAAAGAGAGUUAAAGAGUACCUGAAACUGUUGAAAGGGAACCGUAACAUGUCCAGUGUUGUAUCUUAUGCAUAUUUCAUUAGUGGAGUAAUUUACUGGUGCCCUGUGCAUGAGUGUGACGUCAAAGUCAGUUUGUAUGCUGCGGGAGAUGGUUAGCAAGGAGGUGCGUCGCUUUUGUGUCAGUUAUACCUUGUUAUCUAGUAGCCGUGGUUGAGACUGAGGUGCCUACAACAUGCUUAUAGAGUAUAUUGUUGUCUCGUUAUUAUACCUGUUUGGAUAGCUUGCUAUGCUGAUGGUCUAUAGUGGCGAUUGAUGAUGGUAUUAACUUUUUGCUGUUCGGG
rnacentral:rRNA from 1 species